rnacentral:lncRNA from 1 species
UGCAAUGCGAUAAAAAUAUUUAUGCGCAUAUUGACUACUGAUUCUAUGGUGUGGGUAUGGGUAGUAAUGAUGUUGGUUGUAAUCGGCCCCCAAACCAGGAAGCAUGAUAUUUCAGACAAUCAUGAUUGUGUCAGGUGAAAUAUCCAUCUCGUGGAGAGAUUUUUACGCAACAAUAAAAAUUAUUUUUAUUUAUUCAACUACUAAUUUAUAUGCAAUGUAGCACUAAAAAUCUUUAUGCGCAUCUUGACUAUUGAUUCUAUGCACCU